GCCUACGGCCAUACCACCCUGAAAGCGCCCGAUCUCGUCUAAUCUCGGAAGCUAAGCAGGGACGGGCUUGGUUAGUACCUGGAUGGGAGACCGCCUGGGAAUACCAGGUGUUGUAGGCU
ensembl:rRNA 5S_rRNA 5S ribosomal RNA